GACGAACGCUGGCGGCGUGCUUAACACAUGCAAGUCGAACGGAAAGGCCCUGCUUUUGUGGGGUGCUCGAGUGGCGAACGGGUGAGUAACACGUGAGUAACCUGCCCUUGACUUUGGGAUAACUUCAUGAAACUGGGGCUAAUACCGGAUAGGAGCUCCCGCUGCAUGGUGGGGGCUGGAAAGUUUCGGCGGUUGGGGAUGGACUCGCGGCUUAUCGGCUUGUUGGUGGGGUAGUGGCUUACCAAGGCCUGGACGGGUAGCCGGCCUGCGAGGGUGACCGGCCACAUUGGGACUGAGAUACGGCCCAGACUCCUACGGGAGGCAGCAGUGGGGAAUAUGGCACAAUGGGCGGAAGCCUGAUGCAGCAACGCCGCGUGCGGGAUGACGGCCUUCGGGUUGUAAACCGCUUUCGCCUGUGACGAAGCGUGAGUGACGGUAAUGAGUAAAGAAGCACCGGCUAACUACGUG
rnacentral:rRNA from 1 species